GGCAGCUCUGAACUUGGCUGCCUGCACUGGUCACCUGAUGGCAAUGGCAGCAGUGUGGGAUCAUGAGAGUGGUGUCCAUGAAACAGGAACCCUCGAGGAGCUGUAGCAGAAAUCAAGAAUGGACUGCAGCUGCCCAUGUAUCAAGUGCUCCUCUGUCUCCAGCUCCCUGGGCUGAAUAUUUCAAGGGAAGGAACCAUGACUGAAGAUCAUCUCUUCCCCAAGUUAUGUCUCCUCACUGUCACCAUAAAUUAGCUUUGGAAUGUGGUUGGAGAUUGUUUACCCAGAGGUGAUUGUUUCAUUGGUUUCUGCUGUGAGUUGUUUUGACUUUAUGGCCAACUGGGGCCAGGCUUUGUAG